GUGCAGCAGUCGCGAAACCUCCGCAAUGCGGGAAACCGUGACGGGGUCACCCCGAGUGCCACCCGAAGAGGGUGGCUUUUCCCCGGUCUAAAAAGCCGGGGGCAAUAAGCGGGGGGCAAGUCUGGUGUCAGCCGCCGCGGUAAUACCAGCCCCGCGAGUGGUCGGGACGUUUAUUGGGCCUAAAGCGUCCGUAGCCGGCCCGGUAAGUCCCUCCUUAAAUCCACGGGCUCAACCCGUGGGCUGGGAGGGAUACUGCCGGGCUAGGGGGCGGGAGAGGCCGAGGGUACUCCCGGGGUAGGGGCGAAAUCCGUUAAUCCCGGGAGGACCACCAGUGGCGAAGGCGCUCGGCUGGAACGCGCCCGACGGUGAGGGACGAAAGCUGGGGGAGCAAAGGGGAUUAGAUACCCGCGUAGU
rnacentral:rRNA from 1 species